GCCCGCCUAGCUCAAUCGGAUAGAGCGUCAGACUCUUAAAUUAAUAGGCGGUGAAUCUGAAGGCUGCGAGUUCGACCCUCGCGGUGGGCU
rnacentral:tRNA from 1 species